rnacentral:lncRNA from 1 species
CUACCAUGGACUUUACCACCUCCAACAUUGAGGUCACUACCUCCACCAGCCGCCCCAACAUUUGGUCUAUCCUCCUCUUCCUCUUUAGUAUUGAAUUCAUCCACCCAUAUAGCCAUCCCAAGUUUAUAGAGCUGCCACCUUCCUCUUCCUCUACCAUCACUUCACCAUCGAGGCUGACAUCAUAUAGCCAAGAUAAGUCUAAAAAUCUCGAAAGAAAAUCUAUAGAGAGCUUGCCAGAAGAGGCUUUAGAGAUGACUUAAGAGAAAGC